AGGUAUCUGAUAGUUGAAAACCAGGUGACUGACCCACUUGCUUUGAGCAGUUUCAUGGGCGCUUUCGUAAUUGGUAUUUGGUGUUCCUCUUAUUCAGAGACCUGUGACAACUUUGCUUGGUGCACUGUUCCAAAGGCUCUGCAGUAAAUGUUGAACGGUAAAUUUCCACGACAAAUUGGCGUUGUCGGCAGGAUUCCGUGAGUGUGUUCGGACGGGGAACGGAGAUUGGUGGACUGAUCAUCCUACGGGCCAAAAAGCGGCUGUAGCCCCGUGGUAAAACGACACCGCGGACGGGGGACCGGCUCCGAGCCCCGCCCGUCUCACCACUGGAAUCUAGACUGAGUUCAACGACAUAACACACGGACAUUGGAAGCGGGACUGCCCACAGAGGAAGAGGAGGAGACAGCCACGAAGAGGGAACAGGGGCGGGGAUUGACUCGCGGCCUUGAGGGG